CAGCCAUUCCGCGAUGCAGGAUGAAGGCCCUCGGGAUUGUAAACUGCUUUUGUACGGAACGAAAGGGCUCUCUCUAAUACAGGGGGCAUAUGACGGUACCGUAAGAAUAAGCACCGGCUAACUACGUGCCAGCAGCCGCGGUAAUACGUAGGGUGCAAGCGUUAAUCGGAAUUACUGGGCGUAAAGCGUGCGCAGGCGGUGGUGUAAGACAGUGGUGAAAUCCCCGGGCUCAACCUGGGAACUGCCAUUGUGACUGCAUUGCUGGAGUGCGGCAGAGGGGGAUGGAAUUCCGCGUGUAGCAGUGAAAUGCGUAGAUAUGCGGAGGAACACCGAUGGCGAAGGCAAUCCCCUGGGCCUGCACUGACGCUCAUGCACGAAAGCGUGGGGAGCAAACAGGAUUAGAUACCCUGGUAGUCCACGCCCUAAACGAUGUCAACUGGUUGUUGGGAAUUUACUUUCUCAGUAACNAAGCUAACGCGUGAAGUUGACCGCCUGGGGAGUACGGCCGCAAGGUUG
rnacentral:rRNA from 1 species